GUGUGUCUAGGGCUGAAAGGUUGGACUCCACGAUGGGCUUGGACUCAUCCAGCCUUUGGCUGAGCUAUCUGUUACCUGGCAUUUCUAGGCUUGUGAGGGGAUUCUGAGACUCCUCCAUUUGUGACUGGUUUUCCUCUUAGUUUAAAAGCCUUGUGAAGAGUUUGCCCUGAUCUUUGAUCCAACAAUCUGGACGGCUCUUGGCUUCAGAGAGGUGGAUUCUUCACCACUGUGCCACCCAGGAAGCACAAUGAGUCCCCAAAUUCAUGUCCACCCAGAACCUCAGAUUGUGACCAUGAAGGUCUUUGUCGAUGUAGUUAUGUUAAGCUGAGGUCAUGCUGGAGUAGGGUGGUCCCUAAACCCCCGAUACAAGACUGAUUUCCCUGCAAGGGGUCACAUGAAGAUGGAAACAGAGAUUGGAGUGAUGCAGCCACUAGCCAAGAGGCCCUGAGCAGUGCCGGAAGCCAUCAGAAGCCAACAGAGAGGCCUGGGGCCGAGUCUUUUCCAUAGCCUCCAGUUGUGUGACACUUUGAUUUGGGACUUCCAGCCUCCAGAACUGUGAAGGAAUAAACUUUCUGCUGUUGUAAGUC